rnacentral:rRNA from 1 species
UACGUAGGUGACCAGCGUUGUCCGGAUUUACCGGGCGUAAAGAGCGCGCAGGCGGUCGUUCAAGUCGAGUGUGAAAGCCCCCGGCUCAACUGGGGAGGGUCACUCGAUACUGAUCGACUUGAAGGCAGGAGAGGGAAGCGGAAUUCCCGGUGUAGUGGUGAAAUGCGUAGAUAUCGGGAGGAACACCAGUGGCGAAGGCGGCUUCCUGGCCUGUUCUUGACGCUGAGGCGCGAAAGCUAGGGGAGCAAACGGG